UUACUUUCUAUCUCAAGUCAACCUUUCUCGUCCGCGUCAAAAAAUCUCGAUUCACAAAGUGCCGAUCAGAGCCCGGCGCGAACGCCGUUCCCACUUCUCUAAUGAUCCUUCCGCAGGUUCACCUACGGAAA
rnacentral:misc_RNA from 1 species